rnacentral:tRNA from 1 species
GGGGGCUUAGCUCAGUUGGUAGAGCGCUAGAUUUGCAUUCUAGAGGUCAGGAGUUCGACCCUCCUAGUCUCCA